GCGGAGGGCCAGAGCCCCCCCCCCACCCCCGAGCUCUGCACUUCAGACUCCAAAUCCCGCCUCGGGGUGAGCGUUAGCUUCUCCUGCCCCGUCAGCCUGCGGGAGAAGAGGGUGGUUUAAGGGACAGAAUCACUAGGGCCUGGCACGAUGAGCCUCUAAGCAAGAGCGGGAUUUUGGGAAGGAGUUGGGGAUGGGCUACAUAGGCUCUGCUCUGGCAGCGCGACGGGGCGGCUGCAGGAGGCGAGACGUGGCGCGGGGAGACGCGGCGCGGGGGCAUGGCGCAGACCUGGACGCAGGUUCCCACGGAGGACGGCACCUCCGGCUGAGACCAGGGCUUUCCCUGUUUCCAGCGGUAACAGAUAAACCUUUGCUCCUGGAAGAGGGACUGUAAUGCAGCCCAUGGCAGCAAAGUCUCUUAAAAGCCAGUCUCGUUGCUGUUAUGUUAAUUAUUAAUAGGAUGUGGGGAAGAAAGCACUGGAAAACCCCAACGGUUUGAGUCAAGCUGCUACUUCAUCUGCGCCCAGCAGAGCGGACCUGGCUUUCCCCUGGCUGUAGGGGAGAUUCCCAGGUGCCUUUUCCUGUGGCUUAGGCCCACGUGUCAGGGACGCAAGUACAGCGGUUAACAGAGAGGCUCUGAAACCCAGGGCCGUCAGAGAAACUGGGAAGCUAGAUGAGCUGUGUGGGUCUUGGCUUCAUCUUUAGCAAAGACGUACCCCCCGAAGGGAUGAAAUCCGUCUUGGCAGAAUCUCCUGUUAGCACGAUGCUGGGAUCGCAGCAGCCACCAGGACCCAGGCACUGGUGCCUGCUGGGCCGUCCCAGCCCGGGGAGCCCUGCCGAGCUGCCUGGGCAGGAUGGGACCUCGAGAUGGUGCUUGAAAUGCAACCAACAAGUGCACAGGCGCAAUGGCACUUCCCGAGCGAGGAGCCGGGGACAGAGCCCCGCGGCCCAUCACGAGCCCAGCGCCUCGCUGCUCACCCGAGAACGCAACCCGCCGGAGGCAGCGGGCGGAAACAAAACGUAAUUCUGGGCUGCCGGAGCUGCAGAGAGAGAGAGAUGAGUCGCCGCGAGGUUCCUCUCCCCACCGCCAGCCUCACCUUUCAUAUUCUAAUGCCUUGCCUUUGCCUGAUUUGUGAGCUCUCGGGAGUCCUGCUGGGAAUUCGCUCUCACGGAGGCACACGCCGCCGUCCCUCGGUAAAUUACACAGAGAUAUAAUGAAGGAGGAGAAAUCAGUUACUCUGUGACUGCGACUCCCCAGGGGACCUUAAUUCAAAUAUUUGUGGAGCUGAGCAAGUGGGGCGUUGGGGAGCCGCGGAGUUGGAGUGUCUCUCGACAGGUUUCUCGCAGGUGGUUGGCACAGGGCACGAGGGCGAGGAUGGCAAGGCAGCGCUCCGAGCUGCCGGGUCGGUCCCCAGCAGCACUCUUGGCUCUUGCCGGUGCUUUGGGUGGUGCGAGCUAACAGGGGAGGUGCUGGGGAAAGUUGGGACCGUGGCUUGGUUGCGGUGCGUGGUGCUGCGGUUGCACAGGUCUCUCUGCGCCUGGUGGCCAUGGGGACGGGGUGGCCUCGUGCACCCCUCUGCGAGCGGCUGCAAGCAGCGUGGGGCAAUGGGAGGAUCCAUCCACAUCCCACAGAUUGAAGUGCACAAGUGAGACCAAAUUUGCCCAGCCAGAAAGCUGCAGCAGCACCCAGGGCAGAGCUGGGGGGUUCAACCCCCUUGCUGGGGGCACCCAAGACCAGCAGGUCCAACUUCACCCUGUGGCUCCACCAAGGGCACAGUGGCCCCUUGGCCUUGCUGCUGGCAGGGUCACAGCAUGCUUUCACCCGCUUCGGCCAGGCAACGGCUGCUUGGAGAGCCAGGGCAGGGGUGCUCAUCGCUGGGCAGGGUGGAGGGUCGGGUCCUUCUGUGCAGAGCCCGUCAGAGAGGAGAGGGGCUGAGAGUGGCGGUGUCCGCCCCAUCCGACUGUCU
rnacentral:lncRNA from 1 species